rnacentral:rRNA from 1 species
UCAAGCAGGAAAACACAAAUUAUGGAGGGAGUAGAGAGAAAUUUGCAUUCCCUGAAGCUCUCUGAAGCAGAGAAGAAGGGGGUCAGGCUAGGAAAAAGGAGUGUGAGCCAAUUAAGAGCAAAGAAAAUGCAAGUUGUAGGCAAGGUGAUGUCCGACAGGCCAGCAAGGGUGGACGCGCUAGUCAAUACCUUGGGCAGGAUUUGGGCUCCAUUCAAGGGGAUAGAAUGCAAGGAUCUUGGUAUGAACAGGUUCCUGUUCACCUUCAGAGAAAUAACAGGGAGAGAUAAAGCUUUGAACAAUGGACCCUGGAUGUUCAGCAAAAGCUUGCUGGUGAUGGAAAAACUCAACCCAUCUAAGACAUUGGAUGAAUAUGAAUUCAGAUAUAUACCAAUUUGGGCAAGAGUUUAUGAUAUUCCUAUGGGGUGGAUGAGUAGAGAAUCUGGUGAAGAAAUAGGAAAAGAAAUAGGUGAAGUACUGGAUGUAGAUGUUGAUGAUUGCAGCAUGGCUAUGGGGGAAUACAUGAGAAUUAAAGUACGUCUGGACAUAAGGAAGCUACUGAUGAGGGGUAUUACUAUUUUUGAGGAUGACGAGAGAGAAGAGGAGGAACAUGAGGAGAAGGAGAAAGAUAAUAUCAUAGAAGAUGUGGAUGAAGAAAAUGAAAAGAAGGAGAAGGGGCGCGAGGUUAUUUUCAAGUACGAAUACUUGCCCGACUUCUGCUACAUUUGUGGUAUAAUUGGCCACAACGACAAAACUUGCCCGACCAAACAAAAAUUGGGAACAAAUCACGAGUUUGGGCCUUGGUUGAUGAUGUCUACUACACAACCUUCUUCUUGUAGACAUUGUUGGGCCUGCAAGUGCACAGGUUUGUAG